rnacentral:rRNA from 1 species
CCUACGGGUGGCAGCAGUGAGGAAUAUUGGUCAAUGGACGCGAGUCUGAACCAGCCAAGCCGCGUGCAGGAAGACGGCUCUAUGAGUUGUAAACUGCUUUUGUACGAGGGUAAACUCAGAUACGUGUACCUUUCUGCAUGUACCUUACGAAUAAGGAUCGGCUAACUCCGUGCCAGCAGCCGCGGGAAUACGGAGGAUCCAAGCGUUAUCCGGAUUUAUUGGGUUUAAAGGGUGCGUAGGCGGUCGGUUAAGUUAGCUGUGAAAUCCCGGGGCUCAACCUCGGAAUUGCCUCUGAUACUGUUCGGCUAGAGGGUAGUUGCGGUAGGCGGAAUGUGUGGUGUAGCGGUGAAAUGCUUAGAGAUCACGCAGAACACCGAUUGCGAAGGCAGCAUACC